CGACGGGGAAACAAAGAAAGAGAAGGGGGCGGGGCUACGCGCAAGGCGAUUCGGGGCGCAGCCGCGGCUGUUCUCGCGAGCGUAGGCGGGGCGCGGGGGUGAGGCUGCGGCGUUGGCGUCACUAGCGUGGCCUCGUAGCGACCCGUUACCGGGCCGUAGCUCGCAGUGUCCAUUUUGGGGGUUCCGAGACCUUUUAGGCAGACUGUCCUGUCCGUCACCGCUGGAGUAUCGCCGUCGCUCUGUGUUUCCCCGUCGGGCUAACACCUGCUCCUCCUCCUUCGGGCCUCUGUCCAUUUGUUGUCACUUCCUACCGGGAGUCUUCUCUGAUUGCCUCCCCGUCUGGGUUGGGACCAUGAAGAAAUGGCCUCCCUCACAUCCUGUAUUUCAGUUAAGACACUUCUACACAUGAGUGUGAUUGUCCACGGGCUGUAUUUCUCAUGUCUCAGAUGCUUUCAAAUGCAUGCAAGAGAACACCCCGCUAACCACGGCUUAAACACCCCAGACCUGUAAUUAUCUCACCUCACGAUGUCCGCAGUAGGCGGUCCCCGAGUUGGCACAAAGAAGCAACGGCGCCAUCAAAGACCCAGGCCCGCUACUUUGGCCCUGCACUUCUCAGCACCGGGCUUUGCUCCUGGGGACCGCAGCAUGACGUCAUCGCAGCUACACCUUCAAGAGCAGGAGGGAAAGGGACCCAGAGCGCUUCUCCCUUUUUAUCAGAAAAGAGAAUAUUUUCCCGAAGACCCUCAGUAGGCCUCUCAUGGACCAGAAAUUAAACCAGGAGUUCUACACCCUAUCCAACCAACACCACUUUGUGUUUUUUUUUUUUUUACUUGAAAGGCAAAGUUGGAGAGAGAGAGAGAGAGAGAUCUUCCACCUGCUGGUUCACCUCCCCCAACCACCAAUGGCCGCAAGGACCGAUGCUGGGCCAGGCCGAAGCCAGGAGCCUGGAGCUCCAUCCGGGUCUCCCACGCGGGUGCAGGGCCCACCAGGCACUUGGGCCAUCCUCCACGGCUCUCCCAGGCUGCAGGCGGAGAGCCGGAUCGGAAGAGGAGCCUGGGCUGCAGGCAACACAGCCUGAUGUCAAAGCAAGGGACCUGACGUUGAAGCGGUCCUUCCGCCGGUUUCCGAUUCGGGCGGUUUCACAGUUUCCUUUCUAGGGUGUGUGCUUACACGUGUAGAUCCGUGUGACCCCCCCACUACAGUCAGAAUGCAGAGCGCGUCCGACGGUCCUCAGACUGCCCUCCCAUAACCGCAGCAGCUCUCCUGCUAAGCUGCCCCUUCCUCAUCCCUGUCCCCGGAGUGACUAAUCCGUUCUCCCGUUUACGGUACACGGGAACCAAACCGCUGUGUUUCCACGGUACAUUUUCAAGUCACAUCUCCAGUGGUAAUUUUAGUGCCUAUUCAGAUCAGCAUCCUGGACAGUGUCCAAGCUGGUUCGUCUCCAUUCUUUUUUCUAAUUAAAUUUUUUAUUUUGGAAAAAAAUAUAGAAAGAGUACCAGAUAAUUACCAUUAACAUUUUGUUAUAAUUGCUUUAUCUUCUAUAUUACAUAUGGCACAAUAAGAUUCUCAUUAUUUCUUAUCCUAAUUCCAUUUCCGAUCCAGCUCUCUGCUGUGGCCUGGGAAAGCGGUGGAAGAUGGCCCAAGUGCUUGGGCCCCUGCACCUGCAUGGGAGACCCAGAAGAAGCUCCUGGCUCCUGGCUUCAGAUUGGAGCAGCUCCGGCCAUCGCAGCAUCUGGGGAGUGAACCAGCAGAUGGAAGAUCUCUCUGCCUCUCCCUCUCUGUCUGUAGCUCUGCCUCUCCAAUAAAUAAAUAAAUCUUUUUAGAUUAAAAAAAAUUUCAUCUGAUGGAAGCUUGGCUCCUGCUGAGCAAUGACUUGAACAAUUUGGUCCAGGCCCGUGUGAGCAUUCUCUGCUAGCGAGGAGGGUGGGGCCUGCCCUCGGGGAGCCCAUAAAUAGAGAAUGUGGUAAUGAAAAUAAUGACGGCUAACACCUAUUAAACCUUGUUGAGUGCUUCUUGCA